GCCAGUGUGGUGGAGUGGUUUGAGUGUCAGACUAUGACUCUGGAGACAAGGGUUCGAAUCCCAGCUAGGCCA